AUGAUGCCCUCUGCAGUGGAGAAAUCUGCAACACUGAAGGCAUUAGCAGUGUGGUACAGCCUGACAAGUAUAAGCCAGUGCCGGAUGAACCCCCAAAUCCCACAAACAUUGAGGAGAUACUAAAGAGGGUCCGAAGCAAUGACAAGGAGCUGGAGGAGGUGAACUUGAAUAAUAUACAGGCAGUGGCUGACAUGUUGCGUGAGAAUCGUAGCCUCCAGAGCCUAAACAUCGAAUCCAACUUCAUUAGCAGCACAGGACUCAUGGCUGUGCUGAAGGCAGUUCGGGAAAAUGCCACACUCACUGAGCUCCGUGUAGACAAUCAGGUCGCCAGCAAAAGAAGAGAUAACACUGCAUUUCCCUUUACCAACUAGCGCUGGGAGCACUGGACACUUAAAUCCUCAUCUGUCCUCCUUUCCUGUAAAUAAAAGCCCUUCUAUCCAU
rnacentral:lncRNA from 1 species